rnacentral:rRNA from 1 species
UACGUAGGGGGCAAGCGUUGUCCGGAUUUAUUGGGCGUAAAGAGCGUGUAGGCGGCCAGGUAGGUCUGCUGUGAAAACUCGAGGCUUAACCUCGAGCUGUCGGCGGAAACCAUCUGGCUAGAGUCCGGAAGAGGAGAAUGGAAUUCCCGGUGUAGCGGUGAAAUGCGCAGAUAUCGGGAGGAACACCAGUGGCGAAGGCGACUUCCUGGCCUGUUCUUGACGCUGAGGCGCGAAAGCUAGGGGAGCAAACGGG